GUGCCUACGGGGGGCAGCAGUAGGGAAUAUUGCUCAAUGGGGGAAACCCUGAAGCGGCAACGCCGCGUGGAGGAUGAAGGUUUUCGGAUUGUAAACUCCUUUUGUUAGAGAAGAUAAUGACGGUAUCUAACGAAUAAGCACCGGCUAACUCCGUGCCAGCAGCCGCGGUAAUACGUAGGGAGCAAGCGUUGUCCGGAAUUACUGGGCGUAAAGGGCGCGUAGGUGGGCGCUUGAGUCAGGUGUGAAAACUCCGGGCUCAACCUGGAG
rnacentral:rRNA from 1 species